CUGGGUCACUGCAUUGUGGAAAGGUAUUGCUGCCCCUUGUGGAAAACGUGGCUGUAAAGAGAAGUGAUCUGGGUCCGAUCACGCUGCGCAGAGACAGCACCGUGCUUAAGCGACCAGCUGCCAGCCCCAGGGCUGAGCCUCACCGCGCUGAAACCAGACCAGGGGGCUCCUCAGGGCCACGUCUCAAAGGCAGAGAAUGUGGAAAGUGCCCCCUUGCCUCCAGCACUCUUGCUUCUGUCCCUGUUCUACAGCACCCACCACCCCGUGCUGGGCGAAGGGCCGGAGCGACGCUCAGACCUCCCCCCCCCCCCUCCCCUGUCACAGCCAAGGGUCUCUCCAUUGAAGUUUACUUGACGUUCUAAUAAAAUCUCCAAGC
rnacentral:lncRNA from 1 species